rnacentral:rRNA from 1 species
GGAUUGCAGGCUGCAACCCGCCUGCAUGAAGUUGGAAUCGCUAGUAAUCGCGGAUCAGCAUGCCGCGGUGAAUACGUUCCCGGGCCUUGUACACACCGCCCGUCACACCAUGAGAGUCGGGAACACCCGAAGUCCGUAGCCUAACCGCAAGGGGGGCGCGGCCGAAGGUGGGUUCGAUAAUUGGGGUGAAGUCGUAACAAGGUAGC